ensembl:lncRNA
AUACUGUUGUACUUUUAUCUAAAAAUCUUUUAUUUUUAACCAACCUGCAUCUUUGUUUUUCAGUGACACCAUACACCAUUGCUGUGUCUCAAUGUAUUAUUCAGACAAGAGACAGGAUAUAUCGACCCAGGAGUUGCUUUUCCAUUUGUCAAGGUAUUAAAAUUACAGUGAAAAUGGAUUUCCUCUAUUUUAACAGCAUACUGUAUUGUCUGUAUUAAUAAGUAAUGCAUCUUCCCAGUAGACCCAGUGCUGUAUGUCCCAAUGUGUAUGUGAGAGUUAUUUUCACUGAGACUUAUUUUCUCUAUCUGACACUAUUCAGCACUGUAACUUACUUAAAAUUAGCAAAGAUAUAAAAGCUAUUCAACUAGUUGGUUUAAUUUGAUACAGAUGUUUGUUUGCAUUUACACUGUAUUAGGAUCACCCUGCCAUAGAUUCUUACAAUGGUGAAUCAACGUUUGAGUGAGCUGGAACCAGCCGUUAAAGAGCGGUUCAAAAUUGUGUUGAUACCUACCAACCGUCAGGACAUGGAUCCCCUAAAAAAAAAGAGCAUUGAAAACCACAAUCUGAACAUUGAUCAAAUCUGUGAGAUUACUGGUGAAAAACCCCUCUUUGAUCAUCUUAAUGAGAUCAAGCCUGUUCUCGACCUGUCCACAAACCCACAAAAUGUUAAAGAGGCCAUCAAUGCAGGUGAGGCCUUAAAAAAUGUUUUUUCAAUUAUAUAUUUUUUUACUUUAUGUCAAAGAGCAAUUUCAAUUGUAUACAGCCCUGUUUGCCUUUAUAUCACUACUUACUCACUACAGCAUAUACUGUAUUGCCAAUAAUGCUGCAUUAUGAAAGAAUUCUCAAAACAACGUUCACUUUUCUUAGCCAUUUUAGCAAGUACUUUUAAACUUAAACUAUAAAGAUAAUGAUAUUAGCAUCUACACCAGUGAACGAUAUCGUCUGUAAGAGCCGCUCCUCGGCUGCUUUAAAUUCUCAGGCUCGUUAAAGCAGGAUGAAUUCUGAUUGGCUGUCAAUGUUUUUUAUCGUUCAUCAGCUGAGUUUAACUUACUACAUAAAUCCAGUGCUGCAGUGAGAACCUGCCCAUUAGGUGCAUGGAGGUAUAUACAGUAUAAAAUACAAUAAAAAUGUUACUUCUAUAACUUUUAAAUGAGGC